GUGAACUAAAUAAACUCGUGGGAGUUAUCACAAGGGAUGCUUUGAUUACUUCCCCUGUUCAGAAGGUGAGUUUGGUUAGUUGGUGUGGGGUUUACUUUAAGAUAUGGAUGUAAGUGCGAUAACUUGUAGGUGUGUGAGGACCAGACAUCAGGAAAGGAGCCUGAAUCUAAGGAGAAGUUAGCUGCAGAAGAAAAGGGAGAUGUGGGAGAAACGGAGGUUGAGAAGGUGACAAUUCAUCAGGAGAAGGAUGAAGCCGUAGAGGAGGAAGCUGUUAAGGAGGGGCGCUUUAAGGAGAAGGAGGAUGGUGCAUUGCAGGGUGUUGAAAAUGUUGGUGGGAGCGAGGGAUUAGUAAAUGUCGCUGUUGAGGAGAAGGGAGAUGUUGCGGGGACAACAUGCGAGGUAAGCCUCAGUACGAUUGUGUUGUAAACUUUAUAGGCUAUACUAGUGCACAAAGUUUUUUAGGUUGCGUAAGGAACACAGUAAAAUAAUUGAAGGUGUGGUUAAGGUGUAGUAGGUGUACACGUGGAUAAGGUGUAGUAGUUGUACAUGUGGAUCAUGUCUAAUAUGCGUACAUGUGUACAGUGUUAGGUAUGUGUUGUUGAGUUUAUAACUGAAAUGUGUUUGGGUGUUGCUAUGUUUAGGUGGCUGCGGCUGAUGGGGUUGAAGGUGGAAACGAGGGUGAAAGUGCUGAGGAUAAGAUGUUGGCUAG